UAGAUUGAGGCCAGGUGAUUAAGGCGUUUAGCUGUUAACUAAAAUUUCGUGGGGUUGGAGCCCAUCAAUCUAG
rnacentral:tRNA from 1 species